AGAGUUUGAUCAUGGCUCAGAACGAACGCUGGCGGCAGGCUUAACACAUGCAAGUCGAGCGCCCCGCAAGGGGAGCGGCAGACGGGUGAGUAACGCGUGGGAAUCUACCCAUCCCUACGGAACAACUCCGGGAAACUGGAGCUAAUACCGUAUACGCCCUUCGGGGGAAAGAUUUAUCGGGGAUGGAUGAGCCCGCGUUGGAUUAGCUAGUUGGUGGGGUAAUGGCCUACCAAGGCGACGAUCCAUAGCUGGUCUGAGAGGAUGAUCAGCCACACUGGGACUGAGACACGGCCCAGACUCCUACGGGAGGCAGCAGUGGGGAAUAUUGGACAAUGGGCGAAAGCCUGAUCCAGCCAUGCCGCGUGAGUGAUGAAGGCCCUAGGGUUGUAAAGCUCUUUCAACGGUGAAGAUAAUGACGGUAACCGUAGAAGAAGCCCCGGCUAACUUCGUG
rnacentral:rRNA from 1 species